rnacentral:rRNA from 1 species
CAGUCGUACCUGCGGGUAAUCAGCCUUUUGGGCAUGAUUCUGUGGAGCGUGAGGAGUUAAACGCCUUCAUGCCUGCAUAUUCGUGCUCUUGGGUGUACUUGCUCGUGUGGUUGGUUAACAUCAAUUUCGGAUGCCAUAAAAUGACUGGAGGAAUGUAGCUUCGAUCUCGUAUUGAAGUGUUAUAGCCCUUCGGUAGAUGUGGUGAUCGGGAUUGGAGGAUUGCAACGGAUACCCGUUCGGGGCUACC